rnacentral:rRNA from 1 species
UACGAAGGGGGCUAGCGUUGCUCGGAAUCACUGGGCGUAAAGCGCACGUAGGCGGAUCGUUAAGUCGGAGGUGAAAUCCUGGAGCUCAACUCCAGAACUGCCUUCGAUACUGGCGAUCUUGGAGUCCGGGAGAGGUGAGUGGAACUCCGAGUGUAGAGGUGAAAUUCGUAGAUAUUCGGAAGAACACCAGUGGGGAAGGCGGCUCACUGGCCCGGUACUGACGCUGAGGGGCGAAAGCGUGGGGAGCAAACAGG